UCUUGGUGUGGCUUGGGAAACCAGAGAGUGGAAAGAGAACAAAGAGAAAAUAGAAAGGACUGCUGUUCCUUGACUGUCCAACCUAAAUACAAAGAACCCGCAAGGAGCCAGAUGUAUGAAGACAGAGAUGAAGCAGAGCCAGUUAUGUUGUAACUGACAUGCCAUGGAGGACUGAAAAAUGCCUGCCCUCACUAUUACACAGCUCCUAAUGAAGAAAACGACACUGUUCAUUUUGAACAAACUUCUGAAGAAACCAAGCCAGCAAAACCACACAGCCCACUCUGAACCACGGAUACGUGCAGCAGACAAGGCCCACUGCUCAGCUCAAACUGAAUGCAAUUCCACAGUGAAAUGAGCAAGAAGGAAGGGAAACCCAUUUCUUCCUUGUUCAAAGCAACACUAGAAAUAGAACAUAAAAACUUCUUUUGCAUGUACAGUUGUGAUAUCCCUUUUGCCUGAACCAUAAUGGUCAUACAGUGU
rnacentral:lncRNA from 1 species